ACGGGUGAGUAACACGUGGGUAACCUACCUAUAAGACUGGAAUAACUCCGGGAAACCGGGGCUAAUGCCGGAUAACAUGUUGAACCGCAUGGUUCUACAGUGAAAGACGGUUUUGCUGUCACUUAUAGAUGGACCCGCGCCGUAUUAGCUAGUUGGUGGGGUAACGGCCUACCAAGGCGACGAUACGUAGCCGACCUGAGAGGGUGAUCGGCCACACUGGAACUGAGACACGGUCCAGACUCCUACGGGAGGCAGCAGUAGGGAAUCUUCCGCAAUGGGCGAAAGCCUGACGGAGCAACGCCGCGUGAGUGAUGAAGGUCUUCGGAUCGUAAAGCUCUGUUGUUAGGGAAGAACAAAUGCGUAAGUAACUGUGCGCAUCUUGACGGUACCUAACCAGAAAGCCACGGCUAACUACGUGCCAGCAGCCGCGGUAAUACGUAGGUGGCAAGCGUUAUCCGGAAUUAUUGGGCGUAAAGCGUCUGUAGGUGGCUUUUUAAGUCCGCCGUCAAAUCCCAGGGCUCAACUCUGGACAGGCGGUGGAAACUACCAAGCUGGAGUAC
rnacentral:rRNA from 1 species